AUGAGAUCUUAUUUAAAAAGCAUGUGUACCGUCAAUUUUUAAAGAUAUUGCAACAACUUAUGAUCCAUAGCUGAGUCUAUCCUUGCUCAGGGACGAGCAAGAGGUAAGCUUAGGGGAGUUUGUUGACGGUCCUUAAGUAUCAAAUUUAAUUAUCAAAUAAAUAAAGAAAAGGAUCCAAAUGAAAUCAACAUCUAGACUUAGGGUUUUAUCUGACAGAAUUCCACGAGUUUUGGUGUUUGUCUAUUUCUGCAGGGGGUUA
rnacentral:lncRNA from 1 species